GUUAAUAAAUACGUUCAAUGCGUUAAGUUGGACAGAUUGUUGAAUUUGGCCUUUUGCUCGGGGAUCGUCAGCAACUUGUCACACUAUCACUAUCCACUGCUUGGUACUGCUAUGUUUUGGAUUAUCUUAUGGCAUGUAUAGAAUAGACUAGUGGCGGAAGAAUAGUUUGGUUAAUGUAUAUAAGCCAUGCGAAAAUGGCAUCUUUUGAAUGUUUACUUAGAGAAGUUUAAAUUUUAUCCCUGGCUGUGCUUAGUACUUAUUUAAAUGAAUGAUCUUUAUUUCAAGAAAAA